rnacentral:lncRNA from 1 species
CUGUUUCGUAUUUGUCGCCGCACGGAUCGCGUCUCCAUGACAACACGGUCGUUCGAAAGGCGGAACGUUUGAGAGUCGAGACGUACAGACAUUAAAUUAAGUCUUUCUUUAAUCUCGGACACAUAAAGGCUUUCCACAAGAUGGAGUGUAAAGAAAAGAAGUGUUAGCUGUUUCGUUCGAUGUGGCUGAGCAGGGCGCGAGGCCCCACAGUCAGUCACUCACUGGGGAGAAGAACAAGAAGAAGAAGUAGCCUCGCGGGCUGGCGCCACCCGGUGGUGUGUCGGGGUUGCGUGGCAGUUCCGUGGGAUGGAACAAUGACGGUCCCGCCCCCUUGGUCCCUCUCUCUCCCGCUCCCAGCUGUGCUGCUCAUCGCGCUCUGUGUGUACGUGCUGCUCCUGGUGGGGGCGCUGUGGUGCCGACAGCUCCUAUUGGCCCGGUGUUCACCGCAGUGCAGCAGCAGCAGUGGCUGCUGUGCCGACGCCACCCCGUGCGACCGCUGUCUGGUGUGUGCCGAGUCGUGUGACUGGCGCCUGCCCUCGCUGCGCUCGUGCCUCGACCGAACGUGCCCCUCCCCUUCUGUGAGUCGGCCGUUGUUCCCUUUCUCCUGCUCGCACCGCGUCGGUAUUUGUGUGGCAGCGCUGUUACCCUGGUAGCCAGGCUUACAGAGGCCCUCUCCCCCGCAGUGUGCCAUGUGGGACUGCGCGUGUACCUGCCAGGCCCCCGACUGCGACUCAAUCAACUGCCUCUGCUUCGAGAUCAAGUUCAGGUAAAGAGAAGAGGAGCAGCAACCCUCACACAAAGACACACACCUGUGCGCAUAGGCUGGAGAGCUUCAGACACCUGCCUUCAAGGUGUGUGUGUAAUAUACUGUAUCAAGAGCAGGUUUCUUACUCGCACCUUCCAUGCAGACUUUGUGUUAAACUGGAAAAGUGAGUCCGCUUGUUUCAGUGCCUCGUGUGCGUUUGGAUGUUGGAUGCAGAGUGUCGCAGCUCGUGAGUUGGUGCCCUUUUUCGUUCUUUUUGGCAUCCACGGCGCAGAGGUAAUGUAGCCAAAACCAUCGUAAUGCGAGUAUAAAGUCUGAAAAUGGUCCUUCUGCGUUCCUGUGGAUCCACAGCAGAACUGAGACAGGGGGCACUUCGCUGGACCUGUUUCUCCAACGUCAGUUUUAUCGUUGCUGUCUUUUCUUGUUCAUGAAGUGACCGUGUAGCUUUGAAGAAGUGCAGUGAUUGAUUGAUGAAGCAGCAUGUGCAGCUAGAAUGUGCGGUUUCAGAGUGAAUCCCCUCCAAAACGCGGUGCUGUGCAACUCUACUCUUGCAUUCUACUUUUAUGUAUUUAGCUACUUUGCAUUACCCUCCAAGUGUACUUUUGUAAGAAAUACAAUUGCAAGUUUUUUUAAAAUAAAGUAUAGUUCUCUGUGUUUACA